rnacentral:pre_miRNA from 1 species
AGAACAUUCGAAGCGUCGGUUUACUGAGCAAUAUCACUCGGUCGGUGGACGAUCUUCCCUUUGUCGU